rnacentral:rRNA from 1 species
CCUACGGGAGGCAGCAGUGAGGAAUAUUGGUCAAUGGCCGCAGGGCUGAACCAGCCAAGUCGCGUGAGGGAUGACGGUCCUAUGGAUUGUAAACCUCUUUUGUCAGGGAGCAAAGGGCGCCACGUGUGGCGCUUUGCGAGUACCUGAAGAAAAAGCAUCGGCUAACUCCGUGCCAGCAGCCGCGGUAAUACGGAGGAUGCGAGCGUUAUCCGGAUUUAUUGGGUUUAAAGGGUGCGCAGGCGGAAUGUCAAGUCAGCGGUAAAAUUUCGGGGCUCAACCCCGUCGUGCAGUUGAAACUGGCGUUCUUGAGUGAGCGAGAGGGAUGCGGAAUGCGUGGUGUAGCGGUGAAAUGCAUAGAUAUCACGCAGAACUCCGAUUGCGAAGGCAGCAUACCGGCGCUCAACUGACGCUCAUGCACGAAAGCGUGGGUAUCGAACAGGAUUAGAUACCCGAGUAGUC